rnacentral:lncRNA from 1 species
GUCUUCUCUGCUUCCGUCCUGUGUGCUUUCCAUUCCCGGCAAAGCUGCUGCUACACGUCGAAAGAGCUGCUUUACAUUGUAUCCAGCUUUUGCCCUAGUUUCAAUAAACGUAACAUUCAGCCCUUUGGCUUUCCUCUCUCCCUCCUCAACUGACACUUGCCUCUUGUCAGCAAGAUCUGUUCUAUUUCCUACUAGCGUGAUGAUAACAUCACUUCCUCUUUCUGUUCUGACAUCAUCAAUCCACUUUGUAGUUUGCUGGAAUGAGUUAACAUUUGUGAUAUCGUAAACUACUACAGCUGCAGCAGAAUCACGGAUGUACCUGGGAAUGAGGCUACGGAGACGUUCCUGACCCGCCGUAUCCCACAGCCGAAGCCCGAUUGUUCCAUCCUCCAAGAACACCAGCUUGAAUUUCCUCAGCGGAUUCCCGAAGUCUCCGCCCGCGGACAUGGUGGAACUAGAGGAGCUGUCGCCGCCUCAGCCCAGAGACCUCCCGGACCGAUGCUCCUCCAGCCGGCUGACGAAAAAGGAAAUAGCAAUGUUUUUUGAGUAUGGCAAGUGUUUCCAAGCAUUCAGAAGUGGAGAGUGUAGGAUAUCCACUGCAAAAUGAGGUCUGCUUGUCAUCCUCUUAGUCUCCACUGCUAUCCCUCCCUCAUCUCUCUCUGUUUCAUUGGUGAGUAUGGAAGAUCAGUCACUUUUAUAUGAAAUGAAAAUUGAUGAAACUAAGGUGUUGAUUUGAUUAUCCAAGCAACCAUUUAUUGAGUGUUCAUUACAAGUCAAAUUGUGUUCUGGAGAACAGCUCAGGAAAUGAAUGUUUGACAUCGAUGUACAUAACAGAAAUACGAACAUACCAUUAAAAACUCAGACCUCUUAUGACAAUCCAGAUUCUCAUGUAAGUUUUGUGAAGCUCUUUCAAGAUGAAAAUGUAACAAUUCAAAAAAAAUUAUUUAAACAAGUCAUUCUUGAGACAUAAAAAUGGAAUUAGAAGAUCAUAUAUGGCUGUUUCACUAGCUGAAAUCUAAAGUACUGUUUUUAGUCAAUUAACGGCCAUAUAAUUGUUAGUUUUAUAUACUGAUAUUCAUCAGAAAUUAAAAACUUUAAAAAGUAUUUCUGUCUCAUUCUACUAAUUUUAAAAUUUCAUUUAUUUGGUUAUAUUUCUUCAUUUUACCUGGCCUUGAAUACUUCUUUCCUGCCCAGCAUUAAGUUUAAUUAAUGUCUAAUUUGUUUACUUGGUUUAGUUACUUUUGAUCAUGCUUGGUACACUUCUUAUGGACCAGGCAUGUAGAAAUGUUUACAAGUUUAUGGUCCUCACUCUUCCAAAUCCCUAAUGGCGGCACCCAACAGACACAUACCACAAUGUAAACACAUACUCACACGCACCUGCACACCCAUACUCACCCACCUACACGCAGACACACACCCAUACUCACCCACCUACACCCAGAUACACCUGCACUCACCCACACACACCCAGACUCACCCACACACACCUGUAGUCCCCAGCUACUCCCAAGGCUGAGGCGAGAGAUGCUUGAAUCUGGGAGGCAGAAGUUACAGUGAGCCAAGA